rnacentral:tRNA from 1 species
GCCCCUGUAGCAAAAUUGGCAAAUGCCGCUGGCUUAGAACCAGUGAGAUAUGCAGGUUCGAGUCCUGCCAGGGGUA